rnacentral:tRNA from 1 species
GGGCCAUUAGCUCAGCUGGUAGAGCGGCUGACUCUUAAUCAGUAGGUCGUGGGUUCGAUUCCCGCAUGGCCCACCA